GAUCCUGGCUCAGGACGAACGCUGGCGGCGUGCUUAACACAUGCAAGUCGAACGGAAAGAGAUGAAAGAGCUUGCUCUUUUAUUAAUUUCAGUGGCAAACGGGUGAGUAACACGUAAGCAACCUGCCUUAAGGAUGGGGAUAACAGACGGAAACGACUGCUAAUACCGAAUACGUUCUAAGCAUCGCAUGGUGCAUAGAGGAAAGGGUGGCCUCUACAAGAAAGCUAUCGCCUUAAGAGGGGUUUGCG
rnacentral:rRNA from 1 species